AGAUUUGCAUAUAGGGCAUCCUGGCUGUUGUGGGACUUGAUGGUAGGAUAAGAGACCCUGCAAUGGUAUGGCUUCUUCACCAGAACUCUGUGGUGACUGCACCAUGGCCCAGACCCCUCUUUUCUUCCUCAUCUUCCUCCUCUACUGCACAGGAUCCUUCUGCCAGCCUGUGCUGAAACAGUCACCCUCUGCUUCUGCUUCUCCGGGAGGCUCGAUCAAGCUGACCUGCACUUUGAGUAGUGAGCACAGCAGUUACUACAUUGAAUGGUAUCAGCAGCACCCAGGGAAGUCCCCUGGUUAUGUGAUGCAACUUAAGAGUGAUGGAAGCCAUAGCAAAGGGGACGGAAUACCUGAUCGAUUCACAGGCUCCAGCUCUGGGGCUGAUCGCUACUUAACCAUCUCCAACAUCCAGCCUGAAGACGAGGCUGACUAUUUCUGUGGUGUGGGUUAUAGCGGUGGUUAA